GACGAACGCUGGCGGCGUGCCUAAUACAUGCAAGUCGAACGAACUCUGGUAUUGAUUGGUGCUUGCAUCAUGAUUUACAUUUGAGUGAGUGGCGAACUGGUGAGUAACACGUGGGAAACCUGCCCAGAAGCGGGGGAUAACACCUGGAAACAGAUGCUAAUACCGCAUAACAACUUGGACCGCAUGGUCCGAGCUUGAAAGAUGGCUUCGGCUAUCACUUUUGGAUGGUCCCGCGGCGUAUUAGCUAGAUGGUGGGGUAACGGCUCACCAUGGCAAUGAUACGUAGCCGACCUGAGAGGGUAAUCGGCCACAUUGGGACUGAGACACGGCCCAAACUCCUACGGGAGGCAGCAGUAGGGAAUCUUCCACAAUGGACGAAAGUCUGAUGGAGCAACGCCGCGUGAGUGAAGAAGGGUUUCGGCUCGUAAAACUCUGUUGUUAAAGAAGAACAUAUCUGAGAGUAACUGUUCAGGUAUUGACGGUAUUUAACCAGAAAGCCACGGCUAACUACGUGCCAGCAGCCGCGGUAAUACGUAGGUGGCAAGCGUUGUCCGGAUUUAUUGGGCGUAAAGCGAGCGCAGGCGGUUUUUUAAGUCUGAUGUGAAAGCCUUCGGCUCAACCGAAGAAGUGCAUCGGAAACUGGGAAACUUGAGUGCAGAAGAGGACAGUGGAACUCCAUGUGUAGCGGUGAAAUGCGUAGAUAUAUGGAAGAACACCAGUGGCGAAGGCGGCUGUCUGGUCUGUAACUGACGCUGAGGCUCGAAAGUAUGGGUAGCAAACAGGAUUAGGUACCCUGGUAGUCCAUACCGUAAACGAUGAAUGCUAAGUGUUGGAGGGUUUCCGCCCUUCAGUGCUGCAGCUAACGCAUUAAGCAUUCCGCCUGGGGAGUACGGCCGCAAGGCUGAAACUCAAAGGAAUUGACGGGGGCCCGCACAAGCGGUGGAGCAUGUGGUUUAAUUCGAAGCUACGCGAAGAACCUUACCAGGUCUUGACAUACUAUGCAAAUCUAAGAGAUUAGACGUUCCCUUCGGGGACAUGGAUACAGGUGGUGCAUGGUUGUCGUCAGCUCGUGUCGUGAGAUGUUGGGUUAAGUCCCGCAACGAGCGCAACCCUUAUUAUCAGUUGCCAGCAUUAAGUUGGGCACUCUGGUGAGACUGCCGGUGACAAACCGGAGGAAGGUGGGGAUGACGUCAAAUCAUCAUGCCCCUUAUGACCUGGGCUACACACGUGCUACAAUGGAUGGUACAACGAGUUGCGAACUCGCGAGAGUAAGCUAAUCUCUUAAAGCCAUUCUCAGUUCGGAUUGUAGGCUGCAACUCGCCUACAUGAAGUCGGAAUCGCUAGUAAUCGCGGAUCAGCAUGCCGCGGUGAAUACGUUCCCGGGCCUUGUACACACCGCCCGUCACACCAUGAGAGUUUGUAACACCCAAAGUCGGUGGGGUAACCUUUUAGGAACCAGCCGCCUAAGGUGGGACAGAUGAUUAGGGUG
rnacentral:rRNA from 1 species